rnacentral:pre_miRNA from 1 species
AGUUAAAAAUUUCAUCCAUUUCAACAGUUAAAAACUUAUGUAGCUAACGGAAUAAUCAAACAAUUACACAUGACGUGCCAUAUGUACCUCAUGCUGACAUACAAGAACUAGUUUUUAACAAUAUAGCAAUGGAUAAAUUUUUUAAUA